CCGGGAGUAGACCUGCUCUUUCUAAGGAGUUUGCAGUAAAGGGAGGAGAGACUUGGGGAGCCAGCUGCUGCAAGAACGAGUUUCAGUAGCUGGAUGCAACAGACUCAACCAUAGUCGGCAAACUGUCCAAAGGAGCCCAACAUGGCCAGGCCCCCAGGGUGCUGUGCACCGCUACUGUAAGGAGCAGAGUGCUGGAAAGGCCGGUUGGGGGAUCCUCCCUCUCUGGGAGAGACAGGAACUAUGGAUA